GGAGACAAACAGAUUGACAUCAAAGGAAAAAUGUGAUGAAAAAACGCCUCAUGCCGGUUUGUCCCAGGCAGGAGAGGCUGAGUGGCUGAACGAGCCCUCCCGGCCUCACCAUGAAUCACGCCAGUGACGGAGCCAGCAACAGGGCUGUUUGUUUGCCUGUUGCCAAGGGCCCCGCGGCUGCGGGUUGGGAGCUGUGAGCCCUGUGGUUCAGCCACUGUUUCAAGGGGGUUUGGGAUGGGAAAGCCAGGGAGAUCCCCACUGUGAUCUGAGGGCAGAGCUGAGACCAAAGGGUUGGGUUGGACAGGGCAGGAUGGAGCCUGGAAAGGGGGCUGUGCUGGCUGGAGACUCCGAUUGCUGCAGAGAGCAGGAGAAUGGAAGAUGUGGAGGCCAACGGCAGCUGGAGCACAAGGUGCUGUAACACAAGCCCCAAGAGCCACUGCACAAGAGGAGCUGGAGGACAGACCCCACUGGGAAUGACUCACGGACAGUCAGGAAACACCCUCGGCUCCACUGACAGAGAGCAACAAACUGCCCAAACUGUUCCAUGCUGGAGGCACGGGGCCAGAGCUGAGAGACUGCUUCUCAUUAGGGCAGCAGAGCUGGGAAUAAGUGGUCCCGAGCUCCCAUACCAGGCUGGCGUCUUCCCAAGGGGAUGAGGAGAAAAAACAUCCCUCUCUGAAGUCUGUGCUGCCGGCAGCGCUUGUCCCUGAGCACCCAGUGCAGCGCUGGGUUGUGGGGAGCAUCCCCUUGACGCCAGUGUGGGAAGGAACAACCACGUCCUGACCCCAGUGGUGGAACAGCACCGGCAGCACAGCCCUCGCCUCCCUCAAUCACCCUGCUCUGAUCCGGUUCUCUAUCCAGGCCGUUUGCCAGCAGCAAAGAGAAGGGAAAAAGGCUCCCGGACAGCAGAUAGUCCCGGUGAGCCCACCAGGAGACAGGACACGCUGCCAACAGCGUUGCUGUGUGGAAGCAAGAAUCGGAAACCAGCUGCAGCCCCCGCACGGAGCAAGAAAACAUGGUGCCACCGGGGAGCAGGUGGGACAGGGAUGGAGAUGAACAUGGUGUCCUGAGCAGGGGACCAUUGGAGCAGGACACACAGUCCCUUGGAGACAUGGAGAUAUGCAUGUGAGAGCUCCUGCACCCCGUCCUCUCCGCACAGAGCAUGCCGGAUCCCUGCUUCUGGGAUGGACCUUCCUGCCUCCCACUGUCCUUCCAGCCCAGCUGCACGGCCCCAGCAUCCUUCACCGAGCACAAAACACUCCUCUGCUCUUGCCGGCACAUCACUGGCACCGGGAUCUCGUUGCUCCCACGGCAGAGCGCCAAGUGAUCCAGACGGGAACAGUCGCCGACUGAGCCUGCAGGUGUUGGGAUGACGGCAGCACCUCCUGCUGCUCGGGGACCUGCCGGGGCAGCGCCAAGGCUGCUCCGAUUUCCAGAAACAAGAUCUCCAGGGAGGCUGCCUGGCCCAGGCACCAACUGGCAGACGUGGCAAACAGGGCUGUGGGGAUGGCCUGGCAGUGAGGUGACGCUCUGCUGCUCCAUGACCCUGCCUGCCACAGGACCACCGCCUUUUCAGCACCACCAAGGACCAUGUGGAACACGGAUGGAAAGGGGAUGGCAGCCUUUUUGGUGUUGCCUCAGCAAGCCUGGUCUCCAAAGUCAUCCCAAGUAUCUACCUGCUGACGCUGACUCUGUGUCUGCUUUAAGGAAGGGAACAGGUCAGCCAUGGCUAAAAGGCACCUACUGCAUCUCCUGACACUGGGGUCUAGGACAGGGCCCCAAGUGUCCUGGGAGGGUAGGAGGAGGCUCAGCCAGCUGGGGGGCUCUUUCCCCAAAUGCUGAAUUUCUGCCAUGUGCAAGAACCCACCUUGCACCCACCUACACUCUCCAAAGCAAAUCCAGGGUGGGAUUUGAGGCAGGAGCAGGGUAAAACCUGAGAUCAGCAUCACUGCCCCAGGUGCUACCCCCUCUCCUGGGCAUUGCCUCCUUCUUUGGAAUGAUGCAGGGACCAAGGAUAGGAUGACACUGUCCUGAGCCACCUCCUUGCCUCCAAGAUGCUGAAACUAGGGAGUGGGAGGCUUCGGCCACUGUGGGGUGAAGAGGGGGGGGUCUCCUGGGCUUUGCAAAAGCAGGGCCAAGGGCUGUCCCAUGCUCCUCUCAUUGGACACCCCAUAAAGGGGUCUGAGCCCACUGAGCUGAGCCGUACUCAAGGUGACACACUACAGCUGGGGCUGUGGAAGCCCUCAGGCAUUGCCUUUCCCCUUCUCCCCCCUGGCCAUGUCCACAUGAUAAAUGUGCAGCCCCUCUGUUUCAGCAUGGCCCUGUGCCCUGUGGGUGGCUGGGAUUGCCAGGACCCAGAGAGCUCCUGAGGGGCAGGAGAUGUCCCCACAGUUGAGGCAAUCCUGGCAGUUUGGGAAGUAUGUGAGCAGUUUGCAGCUCACGCUUGGAUUUACACUGGAUGGCUCUUUGCUGCUUGCGGAGGAUCUGGCCCCUUGGCAGGCUCCGAAAUGAUCCCAAGCCCCCCUGCUUUGUUAUUAAAUCAAAUCCAUCUGGCCUCGACCACGGAUGGUUGUUAUUCGAGAUCCCUCUCUGAGUGGAGCUGGGAUUAGCUCCGGGCAUGGGGGAUUCUCCCUCCCUCCCUCUCUCCCACCGCUCCCAGCCCUCCUGCCUCUCUCUUUUGUGUUUCUCCACUUCUGGAGGAGCAGGGGGAGGAGCGGGUGCAUUCAGCAGCUUUUGUGCAGCUCAGAGCUGCACGGGUGUCCCUGUGGGACCACGGUACCUCUGUGCUCCCUGUGAGUCCUGUCUAGACAGAGACAGGACCUGCCUGCACCCCACGUCAGGGCAGCCAGAGCCCCCUGAACCCCGGGGACACCACGGCUGGCAUGGGGGGUGACAGUGACAUGGGGCUUUUGUCCCAGCCACCUGCCAUCCCCAUUUCUGAUCCUUAGCAGCUGAAACACUCACAGGAGCUGCUCUCCCCGGGGACACGCAGAGCUUAGCAGGGUUAUCUCCUCACCCAGUCCCAGGGAACCCAUCGUCCCAGGACAGCAGAGGCCAGCACAGGGUGAACUGGAGAGAUGUGGGAUGUGCUGUUGUGGAACAAGUGCUUUUACCUUUAUAGCAAGUGCCUUAAGCACUGCUGCUUGCCUGGGUGUCACUGCUGGUGUGCCUUAAGGCUGCAGCUUCCAGACCCACUUGAGGAGCUGCUGGAUCGAGCCUCUGGCGGGAACCUUUAUGAAGAUGAUGGAUUUCCACUGCUCUCAUAACACAGAAAGCGGUGGGGGAAUGGAAUUGAUGAUGACCUGCCAGCACGAGGCAGAGGCCGGGGACCCAGCCAGUGUGGGGACACAUGUCUGCUCCCAGUGCCACUCCUGGGGACACCUGGGCCAGCAGGGACGAGGCGACAGCAUGUCUGGCUCCAGCCCUGCAGGGAUCCCUCAAGGUUGGGCAGAUGGAGCCGUGGUCCCCAUGGGCUCCCCAGCGCUGGGCUCUGUGUUCAGGCUGCCAGCAAUUAGUGCUCCAGCUUGUUUCAGAGUGAUUGCUGGGCACGCGCUCUCACUGAGCACUGCAGGGGUCAGGACACACCCCAGCCCACCACUCCUGGCUGAGCUUUACUUUUGGCCUCUUGCAUCUCCUCUGCUGCAAACUUGUCUCCCAAGGUCACAGCGCACAGCCUGAUAUGCUGGUACCAUCACUGCUGGUGGGGUACGUGGUCCCCAACAAAUUACACUCCAAGCCCCUCGGCCCCCCAGGAGCUGUGUGUGAGGCACAUCCCUCCUGGGAGGAAUGACCGUGGCAGAGCACAGGGCAAAGGCCAAAGGGCACAGUGUGAGAGGGACAGGAUGGGUCAGAGACAAACUUUAAACAUGGGCUCAGUGUUUAAAUCUCAUCUGCAAAGCAGCGUGCUCGCGUUCCCUUUCCGCCCUCGGCAAAGCCUUGAACACAUCCUGGAAGAGCCGACACCAUCCCCAUGCUCCCCUCUCACUACAUGGGUACCUGUACCAGGGCCUGCACACUGCCUGAGACUGGGGAGGUGACACCUGAGCAUCCUGGAUGGUCCUUUGCCCUUGGAACCAUUGUGGCACCUGCCGAGGCUCAGAGCUUCCUUGCAUGCUGGCCGCAGCUCCCAGCUCACUGCAGACCUCUCUGGGAUUUGGCAUCUCGCAGCCAGGGAAUGCAAGAUCUGUCGGACUUCAGUCUGACUUCCAAGUCUUGGUCCUUCUGCAGCUGACUGGAAAACAUAAAAUGAGAUAAGGCACUUUCUGAGGGAGCGCUGGGGCCAGGGAAUCAGCAAAGCAGGAAUUAGCACUGGCACCUUCACUCCUGGGUCACACACAGGGUACAAACAUUACUGCACCUGAUCUACUCUCCUGGGGGUUCUGCAGCAUUUAGGCACAAAGUGUGCAUCCCGCAGGAACUUCUUAAUGGCAUGAGGGACUCUCCAUUGACAGAGACAGUGUUGACAUCCUUCCCUGAAUGGCCCUGCUGGUACAAUCCCCACAGGGACUGAAGAACAGCCCCCUAUAUCACCCGGCCCUGCAGUAGGCUGCCAGCCCGUUGGGGAGGAGGCAGGAACAUGUCCACUUGAUGUGCCUGAAAAGCAGCACACAUCUCCCCGUUGCUAUGGAAACACUGCUUUUAAAGCAAAUUAAUAAUAAUAAUUAACAUGAUCUAUUAAAUAAUAGUAAUAAAGGCAUUAGUAAUGACUUGUAAUUGGUAAAGUACUCGGAAUAAUACACGCUCGCUUCACGACCUGCUCCCAGCACAGGAACCAGGGUCGGGGCAGCAUCUCCCACCUGCAGGGGAGUCCCGGGUGAGGUAAGUGCCCUCUGCCUUCAGCACUGUACAGGCAGGAGCUUAGUGGGAUUCAGUGAGGGAUCAGACUUUUAUCUGGAUAAUGAGGAUGUCUAGACUGAUAAGAAGAAGGGUUAAAUUGGCUCAGGGCCUGAUUCUGCUUCGCCAUGCAUUUGGUGCAGUGGUGCCUGGGCAAAACCGAGGAGGGUCGAGGCCAGGUGUCCACUCUAGACUGGGCACAGACUUUGUUCUUCCCAGGUUUUAAACCUAGCAAUGGGAGUAUUGCCAGGAUCCUUAACGCCUGGGAGGCAGAGAUGAAGGGAACUCUAAGAAACCUUCAAUGAGCUUGAAUUCAGCCUGGAGAAGAGAAGGCUCUGGGGAGACCUUAGAGCCCCUUCCAGUGCCUUAAGGAGGCUCCAAGAGAGCUGAAGAGGGACUUUGGACCAGGGUCUGAAGUGAUGGGACAAAGGAGAGUGUCUUAACCCUGGCAAUGGGCGGGGUUAGAUGGGAUAUAGGAUGAAAUUCUUCCCUGUGAGGGUGGUGAGACACUGGUACAAGUUGUCCAGAGAAGCUGUGGCUGCCCCAUCCCUGGAAAUGUCCAAGGCCAGGUUGGACGGGGCUUGGAGCAACCUGGUCUAGUGGCAGGUGUCCCUGCCCAUGGCAAGUGGAUGGCACAAGAUGAGCUUUAAGGUCUCUUGGAGCUUGGUUGAUCCAAGCCUUGUCCAACCUUGCCUUGAACACUUCCAGGGACGGAGCAGCCACAGCUCCUCUAGGUCCCUUUGCUGUGCCUCAUACAUGCCAGGCCCUCAUGUCCCACUCCUCAAACUUCACCAUCAAGAGCAGCAUCCAGAGUGGAUCGGUGCAAGGCUGAGCCCAGAGCCAUGAUAAAACACCCUCUCUUCAAGCUGCAAGAUGCUUCCAAAAGGAUAUGGAAUUGCAGAGAAAGAAUAAACGCAAAGGCCUGAUGGUAUCACCUGCUUGUUUGUGCCCAGAGUCCCUUUGCUGACAAGGUCUUCUCUGCACAGCAGAGUGAGGACCUGCUUGCUCAGAAUCACUCAGCAUUCCUGCAGGAGCCUGCCCAGACAGGCAGAGCCUGGAGGUGAAUGCCCUGGGAAAACCUGGCCCUGGUUUAGGUGCCUGCAUGAGAAUGAACUGCUUGGAAAAGCAGGUCCCCACUGUCUAUGCUGAGCCUCUGGAAAGGCAUCAGUGACCCUUGAGGUGGCAGAAGCAACUGCAAAUCCACUAAAAAAGCCCCAAGAUGUGUUCUUUGGACUUUUCCCAUCCAGGUCUGACAUCCAGACUGCUGGGCCGUGCAGGAUGCCGGAGCAGCAUCAGGAUUGCAACACACCUGUGUGGCUCAGCCUCCAUCCGAUCCAGAGCACCCGGCAGCAACUUCCACCAUGAGACUAAAAUUAGCACCAACAGGAAGAGCUCUGGAGCAUGAUGGGAUGAUUAGAGCCUCCCUGGAAAGGAGGCAUCACCUGCAACGUAAUGACUUUCCUCAUCUCUGAAGGAACGUGCAAUAACUGCUGUGGAAUAUGAUGGGGAAAAGUGAGAGAGGGAGAUAGGUGCUCCCACACAAAAUUGGAAUAAUAUUGCUUGUCCAGAGGAGAAAAACCAAGAUCCUGGCUCUGCUAGGCUGUGCCAUGGACUUGCUGCAUGACUUUGGUAAAACUGCUUAGAAAGACACAAAAAACUUAAGGAUCAUGCACACCAACUCCACCUGAGAUUUAUAAACUGCAAGUAAACACCCAGAUUAAAGGUAAAAAAAAAAUCUCUGUUAUAUGUAUUUAACUGUGUGUGUUGAGAGUGUUUGUGAAUAACCACUGUCACCAUUCUCCACCACAGGCAGUGGGGACAAGGCAUCAAUCCUUCAAUCCAUGCACAGAUGUCCAAAUCCAUACUUUAGAUCUCUUUGUUGGCCUUUUUUGGCUAAAAAUGUGGCUGCAGUCAGCCCACACCACCCACAUCCAUACUCCUGAAAGAAUAUGAUUUCGUUGGGCUUCACCCCUCCGAUGAACCUGCCCUGUUUUCACGUAAAAUGACAAAUAACUGGAAAGAGUUAAAAGUGGGCGCACUGAGCCGCAAGAUGUGACUGUGCUGAGGGAGCUCCUCUGUAGCUCAGGGAAAUACAACUGCCCCUCUGGUUGCACCUAAUGCAAGUUGGUUUGACUCCAUGACUCACAUCCUUGUCUCGAGACUGGAAAUCCUAGAAUCAUGGAAUUAUGGAACAGUUUGGGUUGAACGGGACCCUAAAGCUCAUCCAGUUCUAUGCUUCUACCAUGGGUAGGGGCUCCUUCCUCUAGCCCAGGUUGCUCCAAGCCCCGUCCAACCUGGCCUUUCACACCUCCAGGGAUGGGGCAGCCACAGCUUCUCUGGGCAUCCUGUGCCAGGGCCUCAGCACCCUCACAGGGAAUGAUUUCCUCCUAACAUCUAAUGCAAAUCUCCCUUCUUUUUGUUUGAAACCAUUUCCCCUUAUCUGGCACAUCCCCCUCUCUCAGGAGGACCCAUACAGACAGGGCUCGUUUGUCAGGGUAACAGGAGACAGGUAAGUCCCUUGGAUGGAGCUGCCAUAUUUCCCUACAAGAUUUCCUGGGCAGAAAUAUGUGCACAUGCGCUGCACAGCUUGACAAUGAACGUGCAGCGAAUCCAACACAUCCUGGACAUGUUGGAUUUGCUGGGCACAUACAGACCAUCUGGCCAACACAUGGGCCUCUGGCUUGACAUGUCCAGGAAGCAUCUGACUGACGGCGGAUGCCCCACACAGCCGGUGGGAGCACAUGCAAGAAACCAGCCCUACUGGCACUGCAGGGGAGGUGGGUGCGAUGCCCACGGAGCUGAUCUGUGGCUGCACCAAGAUUUCUGGGCCGAUGGAAAUUCAGAGAUACCAGACAAGUGGCCAAAACCCCAACAUGCCCCUGGACAAAAUUUAGAAGAGGGCAUACUCAAGGAAACACAUGAUAAACCCGACCUUCUAGAAACUGAAAUCGGAAAUUACCUGCUUGCAGAAGAUGGGAUUCUAAUGGGAGGAAAACAUAUUCCUUGGAAAAUGAACUACAUGUCUAAGCAGUAGGAAUAAGGCAAGAGUGUGACCUUGAAACUGAACUCCACUUUUGAUCCCAGACCUAAAAUCAUCCAGAUUUCAGGAUGAAGGAAUUUCUUCAGCAAACUUAGUGCAGUUUUUCCAGAAAACCCUCACAACCAGAAGUCCAAACCUCCACAGUUAUGAUCACAACCAAUGGCGAAGCACCCGUGGUCCCAGCACCAGAUUGUCCCCAUAGCUUAGCACCCAUCUGCAGACAAUAUGCUGAGCUCUUAACAAAAUUGAGGGGUUUUAAAAUCUGGUCUCCUGGGCCUGAUCCCAUGGACCUGGGCUCACCAAAACCAAUGGACUUCAAGGAGCUUUGGAUCAGGCUUUGCACUAAUUUACUUAUCUCAUAGAAGAGCUUAAUUAACAAAUGUUUGCAAAGCACUUUAGGAUCCCUGCACGGACAGCAAGACUCCUCUUGCUGCCAGUCCCAUCGACAAAGCAAAGAGGUUUAACAUCAAGGGGCAGCAGAUGAAUUGUCCGGACAGUGGUAGCCACAGACAAGGCCGCAGGGACAUCCUGGGCAGAUAGGCCACCACGAAGGGCAGAGUCACCUCUGAACCAUAUGCUUACUACAGGGAAUGACCAGCACAUGGGGCUGUGGGCUCAGAGCUCCACGGCCCCACAGGGUGGAAGGGAACCUUUCCAGCUUUCCAGCAUUUGGGAUACUCCUGUUUUGCAUGCGGCUGAGCAGUUCUGGAAAUGAGCUCUCCAGGGAUGGGGAGAUGCUGCCUGGGAGUGCUCGUGGUGAUAGUACCCCAGCUCCAGCCUUGUAACUCAGAAUAUUCUAUGAUUCUAUGUGAGUUGAAAAUGAAGAAAAGCCUAAAAAUGGUGUCCUGGUUCCAAGCAGGUGUUUGCUCCCUCUGGCCUCCCCACCAUUGGCUCGUCACCUCAGUCUACGGGAUGUGGGAUGCUCCCCUGGCAUUACACCUUUCCUAGCAGCUGCGACCUUUACCCUGGACUUGGGUUGUGUCAGGGGGCAGAGGGAUGCAGCACUGGGAAGUGCCAAAUUUGGCUUCACAUUGAUGACACAAAUUCAUCUGGAAUGUUUCUCUCUGCGUUGACUCUUGAUGGUGACUGUAAGUUGCUGUUUUGCCUAAGGACAGGCUGCUGGCACCUCCUCAGUCAAUGUCAGCUUUAUUCCUGCCUCCCACAGGGCUUUCUGUCACCAGCCAUGGUGCCUGGCCACCCCUCCCCGACUCUGGCACUGGCAGCAGCUGCAGUUUGCAGUUUCUCCCUUUUCUUUGAUCAUUCUGCAGCCUCCUGCCUCAGGAAGGGACGAGGAGCACGUGACGCUGCUGCGCGAUCCCGACCUCUCUGCUCAGAGGACUCUGCCGCCGUCCCUGGCUUUAGUUAAUACUUUUUUUCUUCCCUGACAGUAAUUCAGGGAUGUGGAUUUUAAAUCAUUUGGAAAUACCAACUUUUUAACUAGAAACACUGCGUUUCUGCCAAAACCUUGGCAGGGACGUUCCCAGAGUAGAUGUAGCUGCGCGGAGAUUACACCCGCAGCAAACUCCUCACUCGCAAUCCAGCACUACUUGCACCCAAAAAAUAACCUUUUACCCCAAUAUCUGUGGAGCUGUGAACAAUUCAGCCUCCCACAGCCCCACGACAGGAGCCCCCAUGACCUACUCCAGCUCAUCGAGCCGGUUCAAGCCACCUGGCAGCGCUAACUUUAACCUGAAUUACUCCUGAAAUCCAGCUUCCCCAGAGGCAGCGAUGCCAGACGGGAGGUAAGAUCAUUCCCAAGCAGCUGCUAUCACUGGGAAGAGGAUCAAAGUCUUGGCUGGAGCCCAGCUACGCCCCCAAAAUAUUGUAUGAACUAAGAGACGCUGCUAUCGGGGACCCAUCAGGAUUAGUCACUGCCCGCUUUGCCAAUUCCUGCAAUUUUUCUAUGAGCAUUCCUGGUUGCCUGAAAUUCCCAGCUCUGUGAGUCAUGUGAAUAUGCACGAGUAGGAAUUUUCAUUUUUUAAAGUAAGUUGCUAGAUCUUGUGGCUGUGCAGAAAAGCAAGGUGAUGUAACCAGAGUGAAAUCCGACAGCCCCGGGAGAAGGUGAAUAAAAAGAAACCCCAUUUUCACUA